AGUGAACGCUGGCGGUAGGCCUAACACAUGCAAGUCGAACGGCAGCACAGUAAGAGCUUGCUCUUACGGGUGGCGAGUGGCGGAGGGGUGAGGAAUACAUCGGAAUCUACUUUUUCGUGGGGGAUAACGUAGGGAAACUUACGCUAAUACCGCAUACGACCUACGGGUGAAAGCAGGGGAUCUUCGGACCUUGCGCGAUUGAAUGAGCCGAUGUCGGAUUAGCUAGUUGGCGGGGUAAAGGCCCACCAAGGCGACGCUCCGUAGCUGGUCUGAGAGGAGGAUCAGCCACACUGGAACUGAGACACGGUCCAGACUACUACGGGAGGAAGCAGUGGGGAAUAUUGGACAAUGGGCGCAAGACUGAUCCAGCAAUACCGCGUGGGUGAAGAAGGCCUUCGGGUUGUAAAGCCCUUUUGUUGGGAAAGAAAAGCAGCAGGUUAAUACCGCGCUGUUCUGACGGUACCCAAAGAAUAAGCACCGGCUAACUUCGUG
rnacentral:rRNA from 1 species